UACGUAGGGUGCGAGCGUUAAUCGGAAUUACUGGGCGUAAAGCGUGCGCAGGCGGUUUUGUAAGCCAGAUGUGAAAUCCCCGGGCUUAACCUGGGAAUGGCAUUUGGGACUGCAAGGCUCGAGUGCGGCAGAGGAGACUGGAAUUCCUGGUGUAGCAGUGAAAUGCGUAGAUAUCAGGAGGAACACCGAUGGCGAAGGCAGGUCUCUGGGCUGACACUGACGCUCAUGCACGAAAGCGUGGGGAGCAACAGG
rnacentral:rRNA from 1 species